GCUGGAUGGUAGCGGAGGAUAGAAAUUCUAUGCUGUUGGGGCAGCAUAGAAACCUUUUCCUCAACUCCAGCGCCCAAUCUGUUUUUUAAAGCUAACCCUCCCAUUCCUUUCCUUGAACCCCCACCCUCUCUCCACCUUAUCUCUCACCCCCUCUCUCUCUACCUUAUUUCUCACCCCCUCUCUCUCUACCUUAUUUCUCACCCCCUCUCUCUCUUCCUUCUAUCCAAACCCUCACUCUCUCGUUCGCUCUCACACAGACUUUCUCUCUCUAACAUUCUUUCCCUCUAUCCAAACCCUCACUCUCUCGUUCGCUCUCACACAGACUUUCUCUCUCUAACAUUCUUUCCCUCUGGUUUUUGC
rnacentral:lncRNA from 1 species